CCCUUAGAUGUUCUGAGCUGCACGCGCGCUACACUGACGCACGCAACAGGUGCCUGCUCCGAGAGGACUGGGUAAUCAUUUGAGUGUGCGUCGUGAUGGGGAUAGAAUAUUGUGAUUAUUACUCUUCAACGAGGAAUUCCUAGUAAGCGCCAGUCAGCAGCUUGCGCUGAUUACGUCCCUGCCCUUUGUACACACCGCCCGUCGCUCCUACCGAUGGGUGAUCCGGUGAAUGAUUCGGACUUCAGCGGCUCCCCUGGGGUGCGCCGGAGAAAGUUUUGUGAACCUUAUCACUUGGAGGAAGGAGAAGUCGUAACA
rnacentral:rRNA from 1 species